rnacentral:rRNA from 1 species
UACGUAGGGGGCAAGCGUUGUCCGGAAUCAUUGGGCGUAAAGAGCGUGUAGGCGGCUCGGUAAGUCCGCUGUGAAAGUCCAGGGCUCAACCCUGGAAUGCCGGUGGAAACUGUCGAGCUAGAGUCCGGAAGAGGCGAGUGGAAUUCCUGGUGUAGCGGUGAAAUGCGUAGAUAUCGGGAGGAACACCUGUGGCGAAAGCGGCGCACUGGACCAUAACUGACGCUGAGGCGCGAAAGCUAGGGGAGCAAACAGA